GGCUCAGAAAGACACUUUUGAGAAAAGUCGAAUGAUAGUCUCCGUUCUUCCAAGAGCAUGGUUUUUGCAACCUGCUGAAGGAACACUUCCCCAGUUAGAAAUGUUUUGCAGCUUUUUAAAAAGAUUUGCUUUGUUUUUACUUGAUGAAGGAAAAGCUGGCCAAGAAUCACGAGAGAGCGUUAAAGAGAUCAAGAAGAUGUUGAUCAGCAUCGGAUCCCUACAAAAUGCAAGAAUUAUUAGUGAUGCACUUACUUUAUAACAACAUCCAGUCAGCAUUACAUACAAAUAUGAUAUACUUUAAUAGGUGAAGCAGCAUAAGAAUACAAAUCUCAUGUUAUUUAAUAAAAUGAUUUCUUAAUUUUAUUCAUUGAUAGUAAUAGCAAACAAACUUACUUCCCACCCACCUCUCAAAAAAAACAUGGAUGGUUAGUUGAAAAUAUGCUCUUAAAUGUUUUGAAAAUAAUUUUCUGUCAUUACAUUUAACAAAACAAAGAUAAGAAUACUUAAAGUAUCAAGUAUUGAGCUUGAAAUAUCAAUGAGAAAAAUGUGUAAAUAGAUAUAUAUAUUAAACUAAACAACCAUGAAAAUAUUUCAAAACACAAAUAUAUUAAAUCUCAUCCAAAAUUAAAAUAAAGAAAAUUAGGAUGAGGGGUGGUAAUUGAAAUGUUGUCUGGAAGAAAAAAAAAAAGGUCACUCCUUUGUUUAAUUUCUAUAUUUUUUAAAUGUAUGUUUUUACAAGUUCACUUGUGGUUAUUUCAAGCUUCUAUGUACAACUUGGUAUUGUAAGGGUUCCUAUUAUUAUUUUAGAACAGUGUCUCCCAACCACUGUGGCGUGGAUCAUUAUUUGCCGGGACAUGAAAUGUUGUAUAAAUAUUUCACCAAAGCUAAAAAAAAAAAAAUUUAUCAGUAACUUUCACUAUUGUUAUCUGCCUCCAAUAAUUAACUUUAACCUUUCCGCAAUGGGUAGGUCAAAGUGCACACGUCACAACAUUUUAAUGAUUUCCAUUCAAAAUAUAAUUAAACUACUUAAUUAUCAUGGUAUACAAAUAAACUUCACAUCAGAACAUAGAUAAUAAAUCAAAUUUUAAUAUUAUAUAAGUUUUAAGUUCUUAAUUUUAUAAGGAAAUAUUUAAAAAAACUUCAAUCUCCCCUAGUGUGAGAAUUUUGACAUUUGUUCUCUAGGAAUCCUCUCUUCUCAAAUUUAUUUACCACCCUUCUGAGAAGUACAAAAUCUAAUGUAAAUUAAUCUAUGAUGUUGUCAUCGAUCAUGCAAAGCAAAAUAUUUAUACCCUUCAAUCUUAUUUGUCUAACUCUAAAGAGCAAUUUAAUAGAAAAUCAGACCUCUCCUGCCAUACCCAUCUGUCACAUCCUCUAUUUUAAAAUAUUAGAAUACUUACAGCUAAUGUUAUUACUGGGGCAUGAUGAAAUAUUCAAAAGAUCUACCGGGGUGCAGUAGCUUUUGGGUUGGGAAACACUGGUUUAGAAGUUAAUAUAAUCUUGUAUUAUAUUUUUGAUGUGUUAAAUUUUCUUUUCUUUAUUGGAGACUAAAUAUUUAAAAUCACAGUAAACAUAUACUUGAACAUGCUUAUGUAUAUAGUUCAGCACUGUAAUGUGGUUGUAAACUGAUCUUUUCUUGUAAAAUAUCAGUUAAAGUAAACAAUAUAAAAAAUAAAAAUUCUCAUGCAGACACUUGUGAAGUUACCUUUUGUUUUUUUAGUUUCACAUUUUCAAAUUCUUAUUUGCUUAACUAAAGUUUUCAUUACACAAAUAUGUUAUAUUAUAUCUCAAAGUCAAAUACUUAGAAAGACAUAGAGAAAAUGCAUAAUUUAACUUAAAAUAUCCUUGCUAGUAAGCCAGCAAAAGAAUUAUAAUUUAAGUUAGGUAAAUAAUAAUAUGAGGUAUGUAAUAGUAGUUUGAUAAGAAGCAUAGUGUGGAGUAAUUCUUUACUAAAUUGUUAAAUACAUCAUAAAAAACCUUGUGUCUUUAAGUCAGAAUCAGUAAAAUUAUUACAAAAAUUUCCAUUGAAGUUUCAAAUAUGUUUGAAUUUUAAACUGAACACUAAAAAUGAUGAAGGAACAGUUUUACUAGAAUACCUAUGUUGCUCAGCUUAUUUUUAUCAUUUUUAAUUAAUGAAAUGAUGAAAUAAAGUAAUUAAUUUUUUAAAAAAGAUUUCAAAUA
rnacentral:lncRNA from 1 species